rnacentral:misc_RNA from 1 species
UUUCCGUAGGUGAACCUGCGGAAGGAUCAUUAUUGUAUAACCGAGGUGCGAGGGCUGUCGCUGACCCGAAAGGUCGUGCACGCCCGAGUACCCUCACACACAUCCAUCUCACCCCUAUGUGCACCACCGCGUGGGUCCCCCUUUGGCUUGUUCGGAGGGGGGCUUACGUUUUCACACAAACUUUGUAUGCAGUGUAGAAUGUAUUUUUUGCUUUUGCGAUCACGCAAUCAAUACAACUUUCAACAACGGAUCUCUUGGCUCUC